CACUCCUGCGGGAGGCAGCAGUGGGGAAUAUUGCACAAUGGGCGCAAGCCUGAUGCAGCCAUGCCGCGUGUAUGAAGAAGGCCUUCGGGUUGUAAAGUACUUUCAGCGGGGAGGAAGGCGAUAAGGUUAAUAACCUUGUCGAUUGACGUUACCCGCAGAAGAAGCACCGGCUAACUCCGUGCCAGCAGCCGCGGUAAUACGGAGGGUGCAAGCGUUAAUCGGAAUUACUGGGCGUAAAGCGCACGCAGGCGGUCUGUCAAGUCGGAUGUGAAAUCCCCAGGCUCAACCUGGGAACUGCAUUCGAAACUGGCAGGCUAGAGUCUUGUAGAGGGGGGUAGAAUUCCAGGUGUAGCGGUGAAAUGCGUAGAGAUCUGGAGGAAUACCGGUGGCGAAGGCGGCCCCCUGGACAAAGACUGACGCUCAGGUGCGAAAGCGUGGGGAGCAAACAGGAUUAGAUACCCCGGUAGUCCCA
rnacentral:rRNA from 1 species